CCAGAAUUCCCCGCAAACCCUCCUUUCCCCGUCCGCGACACGAGACGCGAGGGAGCGACCAUUCUCUCUUCUCCGACGGCGACGGUGCCUGCCUCCUCCUCACUCCGCCCACCGCCCCCGCCCCAGCAGCCGCGCCGUCCGCCGCUGGUUCUUCCUCGCCGCCUGGACCUGUUCGUCGAAGCCGUACCAGCCGAGCCGGUCACUCCUCCUCCGACCCCGACGCCGGCUCAUCCCCUGCCGCCGCCGUCGACGCCGCCUCAUCCCCUGCCGCCGCCGUAGACGCCGCCUCAGCUCCUGGUGCCUCUGACCCACAGGCCCUCCCGGCAACCUGCCCUUAUUUACGUUUCUUGUCAGAAAGACAGCGGGUAAAAAUCCAUGAUAUACGUUGUGAUGGCACCAAAUCCAUCAGGUCAGUCCCAAGAAAAGAAGAAAACAAAAGAGAAACAGCCUAUGAAGAUACACUAUGACCUGUUAAACCUAAGGAUGAACCAGGCUGAACAGAAAGUGACUUGUGAGCUUAUGAUGCCAGCAAAGUUACCAGAUUUCUACAACCCUCCCCUUGGUGCUGAUCCGGUUGUCCUCCAUGUGAAACAUCCAACCCAAGACAAGCAUUCUGUUACUUUAAUGAGGGAUUGCUUACAUAAGAACCUUCUGCAUGCAAAACUUGUCAGUGACAAAGAUCCAUAUCUGCUAGUCUUUACUGACCGAUACACAGGAAUGUUAACAGCAUACUUCAAGUCCAUCGAACCAUUUGUAGCUAAGUAUGCCGAACCGGGCCGGAUACCAUUCCCGUCCGCUAAGCUUCAAAGUGUUGUGAGUCAAAUGCUUGAUGGUUUGAAGGGACUGUGGUUCUAUGACAAGUACCAUGGAAACUUGAGAUUGGACAACACAUACUACUAUAAGACAAAAGAUGGUGAUGUCGUUGUGAAGUUGGCAAGUUUUAAAUGUCAAGGUACUAAACUUAAAGACCCUGCAAAAAAGGGAAAAGAUAAAACAGAGACUGUUGCACAUUACCAGGCGGAAGAUUUACAAGCAAUGGGCACUGCGCUGGAAGAAAUAUCUCAAAUGGCUAGUGAUUUGAGUGAGAAAGGCUAUCUGUUGGAUUGCAGACAGAUUGACCACCUUGCCGAAAGACUAAAAGAAGUGUCCAAGGGAGAGAUGGGAAGUGCAUAGAUGAACCCGGAAUCCAACUGCUUCAGUGGAUGCGACUGUCAUUUCAAGGAAUCAUGGUGUUUUUCUGGUACUAUACUCUUUACUGCCACGACCUCCAAGACCCGUUAACCAGGGGUGAUGUUAAGAUGGUAAAGCAUGCAAGACCAGAGAUGCCAGUGACAGUUAGCAGUUCGAGGACCGUGGCUGCCGUAACAAGGCUUAAAGUAACUGCAGUAUGAUGAGUCGUUUUGCUAGUUUCGACUCCUCCAGGACUUACUGAUGAGUGAUGGCUCUAUUGAUUCCUCCAGGACAGCUUCUUCUGCUAGUUUAUGUGAAUCUAAAGAUUACAUGUUGCCACAGAAUCAUUGGUGAAGUUGUUACCAUCUGUAGGUGUUGUUAUGUGGCACCGUUGAGACGUGUUGUUGUUCAUGGUCA